GGCUGUAGCUCAGUGGUGGAACACUUGCCUUGCACGUAUGAGGCACUGGGUUCAAUCCUCAGCACCA
rnacentral:tRNA from 1 species